GUGUGAAAGAUAAAAUUAAUUUCAAUUGCUAUUGGAAAAAAUCAGAAAUUGUAUGAGAUUUGCAAGAGCUAGUUUCUUAAACGGAAAUUGACUUCUAUUUUGUGGGAAAUUAGUUUUGCAGACUUUCUUAAAAAAAAAAAAAAUCUAAAACUUUUGUUCAGCAGCUGCUCCACUUUUCCCUGCAGUUUCAGACUGAGCUGGAACCUGCAGCAGUCUUUCGACGGUCCCCUUAACCUUAUGAAAAUGGAACUGUAAAACCUAGUAAGAGCUGCAGUUCAAAGGAAUUCUUUGGGCCAAGACAAAACCAGCCUGGAUUCUGUCAUCCUUACAGUGAACAGUAUCUAGAGGAGCACGCAGAAGCAACAGUUUGAAUGAAGAGCACGAACAAAAGCAGGAGAAGAAGAUACCAGACUGGCAGUGAUCCCAAGCCGCUCAAGCACUGAUGUUCAGGACA